UACGUAGGGUCCGAGCGUUGUCCGGAAUUAUUGGGCGUAAAGAGCUCGUAGGCGGUUUGUCGCGUCGGCUGUGAAAUCCCGAGGCUCAACCUCGGGCCUGCAGUCGAUACGGGCAAACUAGAGUGUGGUAGGGGAGACUGGAAUUCCUGGUGUAGCGGUGAAAUGCGCAGAUAUCAGGAGGAACACCGGCGGCGAAGGCGGGUCUCUGGGCCAUAACUGACGCUGAGGAGCGAAAGCGUGGGGAGCGAACAGG
rnacentral:rRNA from 1 species